GAACGCUGGCGGCGUGCCUAAUACAUGCAAGUCGAACGCACUCUCGUUUAGAUUGAAGGAGCUUGCUCCUGAUUGAUAAACAUUUGAGUGAGUGGCGGACGGGUGAGUAACACGUGGGUAACCUGCCCUAAAGUGGGGGAUAACAUUCGGAAACAGAUGCUAAUACCGCAUAAAACCUAACACCGCAUGGUGUAGGGUUGAAAGAUGGUUUCGGCUAUCACUUUAGGAUGGACCCGCGGUGCAUUAGUUAGUUGGUGAGGUAAAGGCUCACCAAGACCGUGAUGCAUAGCCGACCUGAGAGGGUAAUCGGCCACACUGGGACUGAGACACGGCCCAGACUCCUACGGGAGGCAGCAGUAGGGAAUCUUCCACAAUGGACGAAAGUCUGAUGGAGCAACGCCGCGUGAGUGAAGAAGGUUUUCGGAUCGUAAAACUCUGUUGUUGGAGAAGAAUGUAUCUGAUAGUAACUGAUCAGGUAGUGACGGUAUCCAACCAGAAAGCCACGGCUAACUACGUGCCAGCAGCCGCGGUAAUACGUAGGUGGCAAGCGUUGUCCGGAUUUAUUGGGCGUAAAGCGAGCGCAGGCGGUUUCUUAAGUCUGAUGUGAAAGCCUUCGGCUCAACCGAAGAAGUGCAUCGGAAACUGGGAAACUUGAGUGCAGAAGAGGACAGUGGAACUCCAUGUGUAGCGGUGAAAUGCGUAGAUAUAUGGAAGAACACCAGUGGCGAAGGCGGCUGUCUGGUCUGUAACUGACGCUGAGGCUCGAAAGCAUGGGUAGCAAACAGGAUUAGAUACCCUGGUAGUCCAUGCCGUAAACGAUGAGUGCUAGGUGUUGGAGGGUUUCCGCCCUUCAG
rnacentral:rRNA from 1 species